CAACCACUGCCUGUUCCCAGCCAAGGAACAUGGCAACAGGCAAGGUGACACCUCCUGAGGGUCUCUUUCUGUUCUACUAAAUGGGCAACCCUGCUCAAAAUUAAAAGGAAAUAAAGAAUAUAAAAUAAUCACUCUUGAAAUACAAAAUUUAGGACUAGCUUGGCAGCAAGUACUACAUUUCAUACUGAAAUGCACCAUAAUUCUGUCACACUCGAAAAUCCUGUUUUUCUCCUAUCCAUUCAGUGGUGAGGGAUCCACUGCCAUUAGCAACCUCCUUUGCUGCUACAGUUCUGGGAACAUAUGUUGCUGGUUCCUCAACCACAUAUAAGGAAGCUGAAGCCAAACCUUAGGGCUGUGCUAGCCCAGCAGCAACACAAUUGAGCAAGAAAUGAGUUACCAGGACUGAACCCCUCACUUCAAAGCCGGAGGAUCACAAAAUGCGUGGAGAACCUGCAACAUGACUGAGGUCAGGAAUGAGAGUCUGUCUUUCAGCCACUGAUGUGACGUGAGGGGACAUCUGCCAGCUCAGGAGGGAGUCUGAAGCCCAAGAAGAUAAUUGAAGCAGUAAUAAAAUCUCAUUCAGGACUCAUUUUAGGCAGAAGGCAACACCCCAAAUAAGAACCCCUGGCCGUGGACCUGGGACAGCAGCAAUCUUGUUUUCUCUGCAGAACAGAGUCAUGGGAUUCCACAGCCACUGAGGCUCAGCAUUUAGGUACUGCCCAGUGCAACCAGCCUGCAUGUACCUGCCCUCCUCUGCCAGUGAAUUUUCCCCUGUAAUAAAAUCUGACCCAUUAUAAUCCCCAUUUCAUCCUACACAGGCAACGAACUGUUCUGAUUCUGCUUGCAAUCUAGUAUUUUGUUUUCUACAUGUUUCAUUAGCUUAAAGGGAGAAAAAAAUAUUUGUAAUGUUGAUUGUAGCUCAUUUCCUGCUCAGUGCUAUUGCCUGUAGGCCAGAGACUGAUAGACUGAUGUCAGGUCUAUGAUACCAGAUCAAAAUGGAAGGCAAGCUCUGAAUAUAAGUUAUUCAAAGUUGUGUUAAAAAAUAAUAAUAAUAAUUGUUCCUGCUAGGAUCUACAUUAACAAAUAUACAAUGACCUUGAUGCAGUGGUGGUUAUCAAAGAAAAAUGUGAGAUUAAUGAUGGAGAGAAAUGUUACCCAGCAGUUUACCCAACAUUAUGAAAUUCUAUUUCAAAGGAAAUGACAAUGAUCACUAAUCUUAGUGUUUUCAUUGUACUUAUCUUAAAAUAACAAUCACUUUUAGUAGGUAAAUGAGAUUUGGCCUUCCAGGAGAUAAGAAAAAAUGUUAAAGUUAUGUUUAUGAAAAGCCAAAUUGAGUGCUGUGAUUGCUGUGACCUUUUUUCUGUAUGCUGUCCUCAUCUACAUAGUCCUAUCUAUAGAUGAACUCUAAAAACCCUUAGGGCAGGGAAACAGUUAAGUCAUCAGAGAAAGAUCCUCCUUUGUUCUAGAUGCUGUAUAAUACUCAGCAAAAGCAGCCUUAAUUCCUUAAUACAAAUAAAAAUAAAUAAAUGUAUCAUAGUAACAUGGGGUUGGAAGAGACUUUAAAGAACCUAUAGUCUAUUUGUUAGGGCUGCUCCAAAAGUAAUGCCUCCUACUUUUUGAUGUUGGCCUACAACGUCUGAAGCAGAUGUUGGUAGUAUGACUGUAGAGGUUAAACCUUCCCACCAAUAUUUUGUUGUCAUGUGACAGAUGGCAGCAGAGGGGCUGUCUGACACAAUGACAUCUUAUGUAGAAAUGCAUAUGAAGCAAAGGUGUAGAACUGAAUGCCUCCACUUGUUGAAAUCCAUUGAUGCUUGCUAAACGUUGAUGGAGACCAAACAGUGGAUGUCAGCACAGUGAGGCUGUGGGUGGUAAAUUUCAGCAGAGGUAAGAGCAACAUGAAUGACAAGGCACAUUCUGGACAACCAUGCAUAUUGUUACAAGUGCAGCAUGCAGACUCUUGGUCAGGGCUGGUGAAAAUGCAUAGCUAAUGGUAUGUUGAAAUGGUAUUUUGUAGCUGAGAAUUUGCUCUGUCAAAUAGUGUUAUUGUGCUCUUUGUAUCUGUUGUAGUUUCCAUGGAAAUAAAUAAGAGCCAUUACUUUCACAAUGACCUAUGCAUUUAUAAGUCUUCCCAAUAUUUACGUGGAGGACAGAAAAACAGGACGUUUUAAUUAUGAUAAAAUGAUGUUGUUUUGUUUUAUUUUUUUUUUCUCAAGUACCUACAGGUGACAAUACAAUAAAAGAUAAUAGAAGAUUAUGAAUAUUUUCUUUCUUAUCCUUCAAAGUUUGCAUGAAUAAUGUGCUCCCUCAUUUAUAGAGGACAGCAACAUCAAUUUUUUUCCUCAUUAAAGACAAUCUUUUGUUUUGCUAAUAUAGAUAAUGUGUCCUAGCACAUAAUUUCAUCAUUGCUGAUGUUUGCCUUUGGAACUAUAACAUGAAAGAGUAUCGCACUGUAAAAGCUUCAUUAUGUUUGUUAUUAUUGUUUUGUUUAUGGGUUUUUGGGUUGUUUUUGUUUUGUUUUGGUUUGGUUUGGUUUUUCGAAUGUGUGUAUAUUGGUAAAAUUCUGUGAACUACUGUGGAACAAUAGUUUGCUUUUUUUCCUUUGGAGUUCAUUCAGCACAAACAUAAAUGCUCCACUGAUACAGUGUAGAGGAUACAAUUUGUAAAUUUAGCUUAGCAAAACCCAGUAUUGUGUGUUGACAGACAAGAAAAGCUAUGUCUACACUACAAUGAGGAGUUUAGAUUGCUGCACAUGCAGGCAUAACUGAGCUAGCUUUAAACUUCUAAUCUUCAUUCCUGUAUCAAUAGCAGGAAACCUACCAGAAUGUAGGUUUUCUGCUAAAACCCAAGCUUAAGUGAGCAAAACCCAAGCUUAAGAGCAAACAGAGUGUGGAAGCAUAAUUUUGAGCCAUCAAUAUUAUGCUUGCACAUAAACCUGAACAUUCACUUGGCAGCUGUAUCCUAUGGCAUGCAGUUUUAAAUUAAAACUAGCUCAGUAUGUCUUGCAUAUGCUACAAUCACACUUCAGUCUGAAACCUCAUACAGCCUAAAUCGAAGCAGCAAUGCAUACUUCACACUUAGAAAUGGUCUUCCAGAUCUGGUCAUCUGUGGGACAGAUGUGUAACACAUUCCUCACAUCUGAAUCAAAAACAGUUUUACAUCAACCUUCCUGUUGUACUUCUUUUCAACCACCCAUUUCCAGAUCUGACCAUUGGCAGCAGUCAUGUAGUAUGUUUGGUUUAAUACCUUUGCACCCCUGUUUUUAUUUAUCCCAUGUAAGCACACAUUCUCCUGGGCAAUCUUGGCAGUCUCUGAGGGGCACUGAAGUGAGCAAGGAAGAAGAUGACAACUGUGGCACUGAAAUGAGUGCACACCUACUGAAAUGAGAAAGCAAUCAAAACCAUGAGAACACAUGGCAAACUCGUCCAUGGGAGCCAUUUAAGGAAGGAGCCUUGACUUUCAAUAUAUUUUUGGAACAUGCGGUCAGAUAUUAUAAAACUACCUUGUAUUCUCUUCACCACUUGUGGCAACACAAGCAUGCGACCUAAUACAUUAACAAUCUAGAUCUGAUUGCAAGUUAAUUGCAAGUAGAAUGUAAUGGUCUUGCUGUGCACUAAACCACUAACCACUUUCUCCCCCAAGAUCCUCUUUCAUAAUAUGAUGAAAGUGUUGUAGAGAAGAAAAUAUAUUAGGGUUCUCUACCAUGGUAUAAAAUGAGAGCUUAAAAUAAAAUAUGAUUUCUUCUUAUCUUUUUCACAAUGUGAAGAACUCAUCCAGUUUUCCACAUAGUUGCCAGACUUUACCUGGAGAUACAAUACCACUGCAUGGAGAGGACUCUACACAUCAACUGCUGGCCCCUCAAGCAAGCAACACCUAUUACAAUGCUCAUGGUGUUACUAUGGAUUAAAAAGCAGAGGAGAGUACGACAGGGUGAAGUUGGAGUCCUACUAUGUGUUAUCAUUUAAAAGCAGAAAAUGUAUUGCUUUUUUUUUUCUGGUAGUAUUUGAAUCAGAGUACUGCAUGUUAUUACCCUACAAACUACCCUGCUGUUCUUUCUGUUGUUGUAAAAUGAAAUUGGAACCCAUGGAGUAGAGGUCCAAUUUAGCUCACCGUGGUUAAGUGCAUUUAACCUGACAUGUGUCCUCAGAUCUUCUGGUGAAAGUAAUUAUGAAAGUGAACUACAUGGUAAUAUAUGAUAACAAGUGCUUAUUUUCCUGCUCAGUUCAUUGGAACUCUAGUCGGGGAAUAUGGGGUGCCAUUGUAAUAUAAAUAUCUUGCUGUUGUUUUGUUGCUGCUAAUAAUAACAACAAAUGUCCACUAUUAAUGCUAUUAAAACUAUUUAAUACUUUGCAGUAUGCUUUGCGAAUAAAUAGUAUGUGAUGGAAAAGAAAUGCCUUUAUGUUCAUCUAUUGCUAACAGGACUUGUAGAUUGUGUUGUCUGAAAUACACUUUUCAUAAAAUAUAUAUAUAUAUAUAUCUAAUUUGUUUUACCAUGAAGGACAAGACUAGUAACAGUAGAUAGACUAAAUGAGAGCAAUUAGUGGUAUUGCACAGAUAUCCAUUACAGCCCAGCUAGCAGUAGCAUGUUGUAUCCUGUUUGAUGAGAACUCAGCACAGUGGUAUUUGCUAAUGUUAUUACUUCUACAUUCAAAAGAAAGUGAAAUGGGUCAAGAUUCAGGAACUGUAACCAUAGUAAUGAGUAGCAGGAUUCCAGUGUUUAAAGGAGAACUGUUAAUUUUUUAAGGAGAAAAAGAAAGAAAGAAAAUAAAAACAACAGGGAGAUAGGUGUAAAAAGAACAUAAAGGAAUAUAACCUGACAAUAAUGCCAAAGAGCCCAAAUCUGAUCCUGCUGAAAUUAUCUCAACUCCUACUGAUUUACUGGAAAGAAGAUUGGAGUUCAGCCUAGCAACUAAUAACAGUUCCUAUGAAUUGAAGUUGCUGGAGAGGACACUCCUGUGCUUGAAGAUCCAAAGAGUCCCAGCCAGGAUAUGAAUCUCCUUUCCCAGUCUUGGACUUUCUGUGUGCCCAAACAGAAGGACAUGCGCUACAUUCUAAACAGUUAAAGACAG
ensembl:lncRNA